UUGGAUGAAGAUGUAAACAAGAAUGAGUUAAUAAUCUGUCAGUUUUUAGGCAAAAACAGGAGAAUAAUGAGGAUUUUUAACAUCACACGCCUUUAAGUUGAUGUUGGAUCUUGCUAAAUGUUGUUUAUAUGGAAAAAACGACGUCCCAUUGGUGUAAAAUCUCGGAGAUGGAGACCUCGUGCAGUCGUUGGGAUGAACUGCUGGAGAGACGCGGCAAGAGUAAGGAAGGUUGAGCAGUCAUCAGUGGAGCUUCUCUUCAUAGAUUCGAAUCAGCCUACUGCUAGUCAUCCCCCCAUCGAUGUGAAAUUUCAACAAAGGUGGCCGAAGAGCUCUCCGAUUCAUGAUUUUCGGUUCUCGGGGGCCAGGAAAAGCCUUGUUCCAACCCAAAUACCUUGGAUAUCGUCUGUAAAGGCGUGAGAGUGUUUCUUAGAGGUUACUGAAGCAAGUGGUUUGAAUUCGAAGACGAAGAAGGCUAAGUAUGAAUGGAUGUCAUUUAAGUCACGACUCUUUUCAAGUAACAGCGUCGGGCAUAAGAUGAGGUUAUCACUAGAUCAAGAAAUUCAAGCGAGGAAAGGAAACAAGACAACUUCCAAAAAUAUUGACUGAUGCACGAAUCAAACAAGAAAGGCUGUUACACAAAGACAAGAUUUAUUCAGAGGUAUAAAACAGGUGCAGCCCAUUGCCACCCCGAAUACCGCCAACAAGAGCCAAGAGACAUUUAAAAAAAUCGACGACUUGAAGCCAAGCGUAAGCAAAUGUUAUUUUGCCAUUUUAUUGAAAUCCAAAAUUUUUUGCCAACGUAAUGCUCAUGGCCAUGGGCUGUUUAAUACUUUUAUUUUUUCCCGCCAAAAAACUUAGAAAAAUACGUGUGCCUAUACUACGCAUGCGCCAUUUUUUUUAUUUAGUCUGUAAGUAAGAUCUGUUCAAAUAUGGCGAAUUUUCCCGCCAAAAGACUUAUAAAAAAUAUGGCGCCCAAAAUACGCAUGCGCCAAUUUUUUUUUCUAAGUUUGUAUUUUUCAAGUAAAGUUCAGGUAAUAAACUUCAUCUUUAUUUCC
rnacentral:misc_RNA from 1 species